rnacentral:rRNA from 1 species
AUUGAACGCUGGCGGCAUGCUUUACACAUGCAAGUCGAACGGUAACAGGCCGCAAGGUGCUGACGAGUGGCGAACGGGUGAGUAAUGCAUCGGAACGUGCCCAGUCGUGGGGGAUAACGCAGCGAAAGCUGCGCUAAUACCGCAUACGAUCUGUGGAUGAAAGCGGGGGACCGUAAGGCCUCGCGCGAUUGGAGCGGCCGAUGUCAGAUUAGGUAGUUGGUGGGGUAAAGGCUCACCAAGCCGACGAUCUGUAGCUGGUCUGAGAGGACGACCAGCCACACUGGGACUGAGACACGGCCCAGACUCCUACGGGAGGCAGCAGUGGGGAAUUUUGGACAAUGGGAGCAACCCUGAUCCAGCAAUGCCGCGUGCAGGAAGAAGGCCUUCGGGUUGUAAACUGCUUUUGUACGGAACGAAAAGGCUCUGGUUAAUACCCGGAGCUAAUGACGGUACCGUAAGAAUAAGCACCGGCUAACUACGUGCCAGCCGCCGCAGUAACAC